CAUUGCAUGAUGAACGAUUUGAAAUUUAAAAGUAGUGGACUGAUAUCUGUCAAUGAAGAAAAUAAUUCUGAGAGAUG